GUGGGUCAUUUGUGAAAUGAAGGAAUCCGAAUUUGUAUCUCUCGACUCAACGGAGUCGAACCGAGCCCUACAGAUUCUGAGAGCUUCAGGAAUCUUGAGAAUAUUAUCUCUUUCGUGCUGGACAGAUUGAGCGUUGUAUAUUACAGCAAUAAUUUGUAUAGGAAAGCUGCGACUGUGUACGCAUUGAAUGCCUUGUUAACGUAUAACCAGUCAAACACAAAAGCUUUUCGUAGAUGGGUGCACAUUUCAUCGAAAUUAUUAAAAAAGAAGUAACAUCACGUUAUGUUACAUUAACGGAAACAGUUGCAGACAUAGUUGCAGAGUGGAUACGCUUUACAGCACAGUGAAAUAAGAGAGACAAAUCAAAGGAAACGGUUGACGGAAAUGAUAAAGAAAACAUUGCUGAUCCAAACCAUGAAGAAAGUAACUAAAAAUAAAAGUUGCAUUAUAUAUGCAUGUAUAUAUUUAUAUAUAUUACCACUGUAAACUCGAUGUAAAGGAUUUCACUGGUGCGGAUUCUGUCAUCUGAAGGAAACAGUAUCGGUGAUGGUUAUAAAACAAGCCAGUGGGUGCUGGGACUGUUCCCUUUUAAAGAUAGAGUCCGCACUAGCUACGCUAGUGGGUGCUGGGACUAUCUUUUUUGGGAACAGAGUCCGCGCUGGCUACGCUUGGGUGUCACUCUUGGGUGGCAGAGUCUGCACCAAUGGGAUUUUUAAAUCGAGUUUACUACGGUUACCUGAAAGUUAUCUUUCUUUUAUUUUUGAAUUGCGAGAUCUCAGAGUAUACAUUGUAAUUUUGUAAAGUGCAAACUUAUUUCUAACAUUCUGCAAAGUUUUGGUUUUUUCUAAUAUUCUCUUGGUCUUUUAUAAUAUAAUUUGGUUUGGACAAUGCCCUUGAACAUAAUUAACGUUUUGCAGAAUGCAGAAUGUUUGAAGUAUUUGAAUGUUUCAAAUUUCUUGUGUGAUUCUGUAUUUGUAAAUGUAUAUUUUUGGUCACACUGCGACUGACAUUCUGCAAAAUGUUGGAAAUUUGUUUUACAUUGCCCAUUCUGUAAAAUGUUAGAAAUAUUUAUAUUUCCGUUUCUUUAAAUAUGAUAUAUUUUCGAUAACUCCGCCUGACAUUUUGCAAAAUGAAAGAAAUUCGUUUUCAUACGUUUCAUUCUGCAAAAUGUUAGAAAUAUGUUGUCCGUUUAUAUAAUCAUGUCUUUUCCAUAACACUGCGCCUGACAAUCUGUAACAAGUUAGAAAUACGUUUUCACAUGGUUCCGUUUCUUUAAAAACAUGUGUUUUCCGUUACACUGCGUUUGACAUUCCGCAACAUAUU